UACGUGGGGGGCGAGCGUUAUCCGGAUUUACUGGGCGUAAAGAGCGCGUAGGCGGUUCCGUAAGUUGGUUGUGAAAGUUCGAGGCUCAACCUCGAAACUGCGUCCAAUACUGCGGGGCUGGAGUGCAAGAGAGGCAAGUGGAAUUUGCAGUGUAGUAGUGAAAUGCGUAGAUAUUGCAAGGAACACCAGUGGCGAAGGCGGCUUGCUAGCUUGUAACUGACGCUGAGGCGCGAAAGCUAGGGGAGCGAACGGG
rnacentral:rRNA from 1 species